ACAGAUGUGGCGGAACUGGCAGACGCACAGGACUUAAAAUCCUGCGGUUGAAUAAACCGUGCCGGUUCGAUUCCGGCCAUCUGCACCA
rnacentral:tRNA from 1 species